AUAAUCGCAAACGUUACCGCUUUAGUUUAGCUAGCGACAUUUUUUGAAUGUUUAUAUGUAUUGGUAGCAGAUUAUAAAUAAAAAUGAGCGACGAAGCUGUAUUUGAAACAAUUGAAGAGGUCAAUAAGCAUCUCACACGUGGAAGAGUCAACCUGUGUGAAAUAUAUUUCUUACCGUGUGGACAAGCGAUUCAAUGACCAAGGUUGGAAACCACAGGACCACAAGAACCGGUUAUACUGGGAAUGGAAGUACGGCAAGAGUACUCCCUCUAUCCCCUUUGACAGAGUACCCUUCAUGUUCAUUUGACACAAACUGAUGGGAUGCCACAGGGGCCGGGCAAAGUGUGGAUUCAAGAAGAGGCAGGAACUUGAGGAUCAAAGGGAAAAAGAUGGCAAGGAAAAAAGAAACCUGUUGCUGAAAACCAAGAAAGUAGCAUGCCCUGCUGUGUUCACAAUCAGCCGCAUUGUGAAGUUCCCUGGAUUCAAGUUGGAGAAGGACCCAUCGCGGUUGAGGAGGGUCAUGUCUAUUUCCAUCAAACAAGCUCUCCAGACAGACCCAGCCUCGGUGCAGUGGAAGAUACAGUAUUUCCUCAAAAUACCCAGUUUCACUGACCACAAGGGCCAUCCUAUUGGAAAGGGUGCAGAUCAGAUGGACGACAGGGUCAAAGGUUACAUCCGAGCGUUGGUGCAGCAGGGGGUGAGGAAGGUGAAGGAGGUAAAGAACCAGAUGGUCCAGUACGUGCGGACGGAGCUGUUCCAAGACACGACCCCGCCGCCACUGAGGCGCUUCUUCCCCACAGAGAAAACCAUCCACGCCGUCAUGGCUCAGGUCAUCGCGGAGGAACACUACAGCAAAAUAGACCUGGUCAACCUGCUGCCAUGGGCAAAUCGGACUGCACAGGAUGAUUUCUGCACAGGAACUAGUGAACUCCACAGGCCCAGAACACACCAGCCUCACAACUCCUCACAACUCCCCAGCCUUAAUGUGUGUAGGCAGGACAAGGAGAACACCGAUUCAAUCCAGAAGAAGAGGAAAAAGAAGAGGCUAAAUGAGAAGGGAACCCAGGUUGAACUAGGCAUGCGGGAGGAUAUCCAUGACCUUGACCUCGCCCAUUGGAGAUUGGCUAGAGAGACAUGGAGAACUGAGCGAGGAAACAUGAGGGAGAUUAAGGCGCUGUAUGGAGAAAUAUUUAGGCUGCACCAACUCUUGGAGGAGAUUGGGGUGGAUAAAGGGGUGAUCAAGCAGCGCUCCACCUCUUCCAUUAUUUGUCCCGUCUCCCCGACACUGCCAGCUUUCCCCUGGUACAACCACCACAGGUACCUCGCCAACAGCCAAUCGGAGCCUGACCAGCAUACUGCCGGCACCCAGAAGGACCCACCUAAGAAACACUCAAUCUUUCCCCCUCUGGACACACAGAGCUGCACCUCCCCUGAUAAAUGGCCUCAUUCUCCGUCCAAGACGUCACACCCACACGCUUCACACCGAUUUGCUGUCCCAUCCCACCUCCUGGCUCCCGGCCAUCCUGCCCGGAUGAGACAGACCCAUCCGCAGGUCCACCCCAGGUCCCCAUUGACUGGCCAGGCAAAGGUCAAGGAUGAGGUUAAGAGGCAAGAGACUGCAUCGUCUGAGGAAUUGUCUGAGGAAGUUCAACGGAGAGGAGCAGAAAUUGCAAGCAUGUAUAAAGCACAGCUGAAAGAGAGGAUGGCCCAAAAGAGAAAGGAAGAGAUUCUGAAGAAAAUGGCAAACAGCGAUGACAAGAACGAUGACAGUGAGGCCUCCUGCUCCUCUGCAGUAAAACAAUCUAAUAUCCCUGCCACAGCCCCCGAGCGCCCGGACAGCCCAGAGGCCACGCCAGUGGCCGCCCGAGAGGACACUCAGGGGGACACCCAGCAGGACCUGGCAGAGGUUGUGAAUGUGCUCAAGAGGCAAUCAUCUGAUCUAUACCUGCCUGACGAUGUUUGUGAGGAGUCACUCACAUGGAAAUCCAUUUACGAGGAGCUGUGCCCGCUCGCUCACAGAGUGAACACAGAAGCUGACUACAUCAAGGCGCUUCGCGUCAUCACUGAGAAUGCUGUGACUCCCUCGUGCUCGUCUGAGGAUGACGUGUCUCAGAGUGUGAGUGAGGACACAAGUCAGGAGGGGAGUAGUGAAAGUGAGGAGAGCAUGAGUGGACAACAGCAGAGAUGUCUACACAGGGAUCCUUAUGGUAAGAGGGACAGGAAGGAGAUUGAUAGUGGUAAAAGGGAAGGGAGAUUUGCAACCGCCAAUGCAAUGUCUAUGAUGGCGAGCCGAGGGAUAGAAGAACUUAAUGCCAUGAGCUACACAGACAGGAUCAAAUAUUUCAAGUAUGAGGCUAAGAGAAAUGAAGAGAUGAUGAAGAUUGAAAGGAGGAAGGAAAAAGCCAGGGACGAAGAGCUCAAAAAGUGGGAAAAGAGACAGAAGAAAUUGAAUGAGGAGGAAAGGAAAAGGACAGAAAAUAUGGAAAAAAACAAGUUAGAGGAGCAGAGGAAAAGGGAGAAGGCAGAGAUGAAACUAAAGAUCGAACAUGAGAAAAAGAGACAAGAGCAAGAGAAAAAGAGGGAGAAAAAAGAAAGAAAGCAGCAGGAGAUGCAACAGAAGGCCCGUGCAAAAGAAGAGAAAAAGAGGGCAGAGGAAGAGAAAAAGAUGGAGAAACAGAGGAUGGAGGAGGAGAGGAACAGGGGAAAGGAGAGAAUGAAGGUGUUGGAGAUGCAGCAAAAGGCACGAAAGAAAGAAGAGAAGAGGAGGAAAGAGGAACAGAAAAGGAGAUUGAAGAUACAACAGGAACAAGAGAAGGAGGAACAGAAAAGGAAGACAAGGAUACGGGACGAGGAUAAGAAGAGAGCAGAGCUUCAAAGAAUAAAAGAUCACGAGGCCAGGUUCAAGAUGGAGAUGGAGAAACUGUAUGAGAGAGAAGAGAGGAAUGCACAGAUUGAAAGAGAAAAGAGGCGUGCGCUGUGUCAGAAAAAAGGACAGACACAGAGAGCAAAACAGGUGGUGGCAUACGAGGUCACAGCGUCUACAUCUGACGCCUCUGUGCGGAGGGAAGAGAGAGAGCAGCGUCCAGAGACCGCUCACGCACAGUCUGCAAAGAGGAGAACAAGGAAGAAGCAGAAGAAAGCGGCGGACGAGGCAUCGACAACUUUUCAGUAGAUGACAAAAGAAAGGGAGCAGACAAAAGAAGAAAUGUACAAGUCAAUGCUCCUAGCCUGUUCAAGUCUGAGAUAGAUGAAAAGAGCAGCCAAAGAAACAUCUGUUGAAGCAUCAAUUGGAAAGGAUAGGAGGGUUGGAGGAGGAGCACAGCUGGAUGACUUCAUUAGGUAAGUGUUUACUAUCAAAGCCUGUUCUCUGUAGACAACUGUAUUAGUGUUGAUAGAAGUAUGUUUAGGUAAUGUCUUUCAACCCAACCACUACAAUUCCUGAUCUCAUGUGAUUAUUCACCUCAAGUGAGUGGGCUUUCAGAUGUUUUUUCCCGAAACAGAUUGUGGCAUAUGAGGUCUCUUUAUCUGUUGAAGCAUCAAUAGGAAAGGAUGAAAGGGAGGGAGGCAGGAAGAGGAAAACACAGAAGAGCAGGUGAGGAGCACUCUAUGUUCUGCUUCCAUGUGGAUUGACAGCAUUGCUUUCAUGAGCUUCUGGAGGACACCAUGGAGGAAGAGGGAGAGGGUCUAUGAUAGGCAGUUUGCCAUGGCCCUAAAUGGGCCUUUGGAUGUUAAUUCUUUCUGCUUUAUAUCAUACAACUUUACAAUAAAAAUGAAUUGUAAGCAUCAGCCUCUUCUGUUGUGUGAUCAGUGCAGUAGUAGUAAGAUUGGUGUAAACCCAAGGAAUAUUCUGGCCUUCUAGGCAGAGUUCCUCUGUCCAGUGUCUGUGUUCUUUUGCCCAUCUUAACAUUUUUAUUGGCCAGU